AUAGUCUGCUGGGGGAGUUCUUGGGAACUGAGACGGGCAACGCCCGAACCCUUUGAACCUGAUCCGGUUUAUACCGGCGUAGGGAAGCGGCCAGAAACAAUC
rnacentral:ncRNA from 18 species